GACCUCAACUCAGCAAGGCUACCCGCUGAAUUUAAGCAUAUCAAUAAGCGGAGG
rnacentral:rRNA from 1 species